CGCCCGGCGCCGGGUGGGCUCCUGGUGCCUCACGCGGCCGCUCCUCGGGGUUAGGCUCAGUCCUGGCCGUCAAGAAAACCAGCACACUGAACGGCCGGUUUCUUCUUCCCCGACCCACAUUUCAGCCGCGACGGAGCGACUGUCUGAGGACCCAGGCACCCCCGCCUCUAGCGAGUGGUACCGUCAGAAUCCUCCGGAACCCCCGCGCACGAACCCUCCCCUGGCACAGUGAGGCAACCGGACCGGCCGGAUCCGGGCCACGUAGUCGCGGUCGCCUCUGCCUCUUUCCCACGCUAGGUCGCGACCUCGUCUCGCCACUCAGCUACAGGGCUUCCCGCACGGCAUCGCCUCGGAUCGAGGACUCGUAAUAAGCCUCACUCGCUCGGCCCUAACCGGGUUCUCUUUCCCUCUGCCUCGGGCCUGAUGGCAGCGUCGACCAUGGAUCUGCCCUCUUGCCCCCCGGAUCAGUCCUCCCGGCUUGGUUUUCCCCGCAACCCUAGUGGGCCUGGGGCGGUGGGCCUCUCAGCUUCCCCCCGGCGGGGCCCUCGGAAGGGAACGGAAGGGUCCCAGCACUCCUUUAAAGAGAAUCAGUCCCUCAAGCCUUACCUGGAAGGCGUGGAGAACUCCUGCUGGAAAAUGUCCUCUAACUUCUCUACUACCUCAUCAGUGCUGAGUGGGAUGAGGCUGCCAUAAGUUUGAAGGAAUUCAUCCAAGAUGCCUGGAUAGAGAAGAGAGAGGGAAGUGAGACUUUGCUCUAGGAGUUGACCAAAGGAAGGAGGCUAGGUCCACUAGGGCUUACUCUGGACACAGGUCACAUGCUCCUCCCGCAAGGGACUAUGCUGGCCAGCUUUCUCCCCGGGCCGCUCUGCUUCUUCCCCAGUGCUCAAAUCAGGACCCUGAAAGAGCUCCUGAGCCACAUGGUCCCCGAUGCUGCACACAUUGCUGAUGAGGAUGCUGGCAUCAGGGGGUGCCAGGCUGCGCUCCCCUUCUGACCCAGGUGGUCCCCCAAAGCCAUUAGGCAAAGUACACGAGAGGAGGCCUAUAAGGCAAGGGAAAUAGUUUGGAGAUGAGAAAUUAGCCCAGCUGAAAGAAUAAUGGGAAGAUUAACUAAUGCACACAAAUAUAAUUCCACAAAAAGGAUGAAUUAAAGCAGAAUUUACCAAUAUAAGCCUCAAGGUAAGGAGACACCCCCUGCCCCCGCCAAAAAAAAUACUAAAGCAUAAAAUAAGGAUGUCCAAGAGGUUCUAAUGAGAGAGAAAGCAGGAGUUCCUAUUCGCAGAUAGGAGGAAAUCAAGAAAAGACUGGAAUCAGAAAUAUAAAUUUCAGGAAUAUGUUACUACUCUACACUUCGCAUGCAGCCUACUGCCCAACCUAUGAUAAUGGCUCAACAAAUACUUGAGUUCUUAAUAAAAGACGUUAAAUUGUUUGGCUGGA